UAAUUCCGGGACGCUGAAUAU
ensembl:piRNA 21ur-3850 ncRNA